AGAGUUUGAUCAUGGCUCAGAUUGAACGCUGGCGGCAGGCCUAACACAUGCAAGUCGAGCGGUAGCACAAGAGAGCUUGCUCUCUGGGUGACGAGCGGCGGACGGGUGAGUAAUGUCUGGGAAACUGCCUGAUGGAGGGGGAUAACUACUGGAAACGGUAGCUAAUACCGCAUAACGUCUUCGGACCAAAGUGGGGGACCUUCGGGCCUCACGCCAUCAGAUGUGCCCAGAUGGGAUUAGCUAGUAGGUGGGGUAAUGGCUCACCUAGGCGACGAUCCCUAGCUGGUCUGAGAGGAUGACCAGCCACACUGGAACUGAGACACGGUCCAGACUCCUACGGGAGGCAGCAGUGGGGAAUAUUGCACAAUGGGCGCAAGCCUGAUGCAGCCAUGCCGCGUGUGUGAAGAAGGCCUUCGGGUUGUAAAGCACUUUCAGCGAGGAGGAAGGGCAGUGUGUUAAUAGCACAUUGCAUUGACGUUACUCGCAGAAGAAGCACCGGCUAACUCCGUGCCAGCAGCCGCGGUAAUACGGAGGGUGCAAGCGUUAAUCGGAAUUACUGGGCGUAAAGCGCACGCAGGCGGUUUGUUAAGCCAGAUGUGAAAUCCCCGCGCUUAACGUGGGAACUGCAUUUGAAACUGGCAAGCUAGAGUCUUGUAGAGGGGGGUAGAAUUCCAGGUGUAGCGGUGAAAUGCGUAGAGAUCUGGAGGAAUACCGGUGGCGAAGGCGGCCCCCUGGACAAAGACUGACGCUCAGGUGCGAAAGCGUGGGGAGCAAACAGGAUUAGAUACCCCGGUAGUCCAA
rnacentral:rRNA from 1 species